rnacentral:rRNA from 1 species
AACGAACGCUGGCGGCAUGCCUAACACAUGCAAGUCGAACGAGACCUUCGGGUCUAGUGGCGCACGGGUGCGUAACGCGUGGGAAUCUGCCCUUGGGUUCGGAAUAACUUCGGGAAACUGAAGCUAAUACCGGAUGAUGACGUAAGUCCAAAGAUUUAUCGCCCAAGGAUGAGCCCGCGUAGGAUUAGCUAGUUGGUGAGGUAAAGGCUCACCAAGGCGACGAUCCUUAGCUGGUCUGAGAGGAUGAUCAGCCACACUGGGACUGAGACACGGCCCAGACUCCUACGGGAGGCAGCAGUGGGGAAUUUUCCGCAAUGGGCGAAAGCCUGACGGAGCAAUACCGCGUGAGGGAGGAAGGCUCUUGGGUUGUAAACCUCUUUUCUCAGGGAAGAACAGAAUGACGGUACCUGAGGAAUAAGCAUCGGCUAACUCCGUGCCAGCAGCCGCGGUAAUGUGACUACUG